rnacentral:lncRNA from 1 species
CCUUCAAUUACUGUUUUGGGCUUUUGGCCAUUGCAGGAAACCAUGUUCAGACUAUAAAAUGAAGGAAAUAACUGCCAGUGGCAUAGUCAGAUCCAAGGGAGAAAAUGGAGCAUCAGAAUCUGAGGAUACUGAGCAGAACUCGGCGAACAAACAGGAUUAUGAACGUACCAGGUAUUUGUUUAAUAUUCUCCAGUUAACCUUAAUUUUAUUAUACAAUUCCAUAUUAUGAGUUUGGAACAUUUAUUACCUACCUUAUGAUGGGUUGAAUUGUUAUUACUUAUUAGCAAGCAUUCGCGGGAAUCAGUCACAAUUCUUUUGGUGAAUAAGAAAUAGUUUCUCCCAAGAAGCCAACUAGUCUGACUAAGCGGCAAAGCAGCGGGAGUUAAGUGUAAAUCCGGAAAGUGAGUCUGAGGCAAUGUUGAAGAAACAAAUUUCCGACGGCAAGAGGAAGGAGCUCGGUGGACAUGAUAUUUUUGCCCCACGUCCUGAAAUUCAAU